UUCUUGACGAGCUCGUCUCCGGCGCUCGCGAGCCGCCUCCUCAUCAUCAUCAUAAGAGUUCAUCCUGUAGAGUGAUGGGAUACAGACACAUGUUGGAGAUGGUAGAGAGAAACCCAUAACAGGGACCACAAUUCUGUUUCUCCGACUCGAGCGCAACAGCGGAAAUCCGAAACAAUCCGUUCCUCUCAGGGAGUUCCAUAAGAAAAAGGUCAUCCAAAAAGACAGUCAGAUGGAGUAUCUGUGAUUUUCUUGGAAAAAUAAGGUCUGUCUUCUGUAAGAAGUGUUGCUGGAUGAAUACAAUAGCUUUCAGACCUCCAGUGCGGGCGGAUGAAAUGCAAGGAGAGAUGGAGGAAGAAAUCUCAUCGUCUUGACAGAUACUGAAACAUUAUGGCUGAAUCUUGGAACAAAAGCAGCCGUCAAAACAUUCCAAAGUCUGUGGAGUUUCCCUAACCUGCUGCAGGAGACAUAUAGUGAAGGACAAGCCAGAUUCACAUUGUAUUAACUUCUCUUUCAAGAAGAGUGUGCACACUUUACUUUAUGUCUGCUCUGACUUACAAUGCCGCAUGUAUUUAAAUAUAUAGUUGUAAUUGCAUUAAACAAAAGUUUUGUGUUAACAAUUUGAA